rnacentral:lncRNA from 10 species
CCUGCUGUUGCUAAUCUCUGGGUUGCAUCUAAGUAACUUCUCAGCUCUUCCAUUACCCACGUAACCCAUUCCCUGCGUGUCAUUACCCCUCUUUAAACAUUGGCUUUUGGCUUUUGUUUUCCCCGUAGGACUCUGACAAAUAUGCCUUUUUUUCAGGUAUCCCCUGACCCCUAGAUUAGCUCAGGCCCCUACUACUGCCCAAUGACAUCGUUCACUCAUUGCUUCAAUAGGUUAUUUAUUGGAUGCCUAUGGCCAAGGGUCAGCAAACACAGCCAGCUGUUUUGUAAAUAAAAUUAUAUUGGAACACAACCACACCCAUUCAUUUACAUAUCGUACAGUUGCUUUCAAAGGCAGAGUUGAAUAACUGCACCAGAGACCCACAUGUGGCCCAUGACACCUAAAAUAUCCACUCUCUUGUCCUUUUCAGAAAAAGUUUGCCAGCCCUUGUUUUAGGUACCCAAAAUGUAGUCCUGGGACCAACAGCAACUUCUUCACCUGGGAGCUCGUUGGAACCACAGAAUCUCAGACCCACAACGAGACCUGCUGAUUCGGAGUCUGCAUUUUUACAAGGUCCUCAGUUGAUAGGCAAGAGCAAGGAUUAUUAGUGUUGGUCUUCUUCGGAACCCCAGUGCUGAUAAGUUGGCUGGCCCAGAGAAGACGAAUGCAGUGACCCUCUGACAAAUAUAUUGUUGAAGAGAGUCAUGGAAGCUGAAGGAAGAGAGAGUUUCAAAAACAGCAGUUACCGUUUUUCACAUAUGAGACUGGCAAAGAUAAAAAAGUUUGUUAACACACGGUGUUGGGAGAGCACAGGAAAUAGGCUCUCUCUCACAUGUUGUUAGCACAACCUCUCUGGGGAGGUAAGUUUGGCAAUAUUCAUCAAAAUUACAAAUGCACAGACUCUUUGACCCUGCAUUUCCACUUGUAGGCCUUUGCCAAGUGAUUAAUAUAUGUACUGCACAAGAGCAAAAGGUUGGACAAAACCAAGUAUUCAUCAACAAGGAAUCUGCUUGGUAAGUUGUGGUGUAUAAUAAAACUGUGCAACUUUAAAAAAG